ACGAACUGUGCAAACGUUAUUCGGAUUCACUGGGCUUAAAGGGUGCGUAGGCGGCCAUGUAAGUAGGGUGUGAAAUCCCCCGGCUUAACCGGGGAACUGCGCCCUAAACUGUGUGGCUUGAGUGAGAUAGGGGUGUGUGGAACUUCCGGUGGAGCGGUGAAAUGUGUUGAGAUCGGAAGGAACGCCCGUGGCGAAAGCGAGGUCCUGGACGCCUACUGACGCUGAGACGCGAAAGCCAGGGGAGCGAACGGGA
rnacentral:rRNA from 1 species